rnacentral:lncRNA from 1 species
AAGGCCUACGGACAACAUGCCUAAACCGGCAAUACUGUUUUUGCAGAUCUUGCCAUGGAUUUUCGGCGCUUCAACAUCGAUAAGCAGAAACGAUGCUUUGCUUCCCUUCGUGGAUCAUCAGGGCAUUGGAACCGUGCGCACAACGUGGGUGGAUCGCCUGUCAGGUGGAGUGACGUCAUCGAUGGACCAGCUACAAAAGGACGAACGCAACAGAGGCACCUUCACUGGGCACGGCGAAAGGCCUACGGACAACAUGCCUAAACCGGCAAUACUGUUUUUGCAGAUCUUGCCGUGGAUUUUCGGCGCUUCAACGUCGAUAAGCAGAAACGAUGCUUUGCUUCCCUUCGUGGAUCAUCAGGGCAUUGGAACCGUGCACACAACGUGGGUGGAUCGCCUGUCAGGUGGAGUGAUGUCAUCGAUGGACCAGCUACAAAAGGACGAACGCAACAGAGGCACCUUCACUGGGCACAGCGAAAGGCCUACGGACAACAUGCCUAAACCGGCAAUACUGUUUUUGCAGGCAUCCCAUUGUUUU